GAAGCUCUUGUGACUUCUACUUACUUACCAGGGGUGUGGCUUGAUUCGUGUGACGUGGGGGGCAUGGCUUUGCUCAACUCCAUAGAGGCAGUCCGUCUGUGGCAGGAGCCGAUACAUACGGGAGCGACUAGUAUAGAAAAUGGCCCUCCGAUACAAGAAUAGAAAAAUCGAAGUUGGGCCAUUGGAUUGAGGAUGGAUGGCACAGAUUCUGCUGAAGGAUGUGUACAGACAAAUGCAUGCUUCUGUGCAAAAAGGACCUUCAUCUCUAUUGAAUUUGCUUCCUACAUUCUGUGCCAUCAAACGAGAGCCACACCCAUUUUUCAUCUCCCAACUGCUUCCCGACGGCGGUGGCGCUACAGCGACGUGACGACCCGUUGUUGGACUGAUAGUUUCAGAAUAAUUGAUCCAUUCAUGACGUACGCAACAUUGGCGAGAUGAGAGAGCCGUUUGUUCAGCACGGCAGAAGCUCGACCAAGGUUGUGGGUGAUCACCCAAACCCAGCAGGGACCUGCAACUGAACAGAGCCGUAGGAAGUGAUAUCUUUCUUGGCAAGAUUUUCUUGAUUACAUUUACAAAGAGGAGGGAAGGAAGAUUGUCUUUGAAUGAUUUGAGGGCCAUGUGAGGAAGAAAUUUUUGAUAGGUGUCAGCUCUCUAUUGUAUAACUGAAUGGUCGCCAGUGGACAGUACCAUGUAUGCAUUCGACCUCAAGGCGCAAUCCUGGUCUACUCUCGACUUGGCUGGCUAGGUUCCCCUGUCGCUCAUUGGCAUGGGCGGCACGGUGUUUGUGUUCGGCGUCCGCGUCAAGGAUCACAAGCUCUACGAGCUCUGCUUCGACACGACCAUAAACAUGACCUGUUCUUGUACCAAAAAUGACCCUCCCAUCUUAUGUAUCAAUUGAUAUUUAUGUAUGUCUGUUGUGUUGUGUUCUGGUAGGGGUGUUCCAGAUGUUUAGUUUUUUUUUUUUGAAAUGUCCAGAUGUUUAGUUCUGAUUGAAGGGUCUGGCUUAAUUUUAUUCAUGUACUAAAAUAUUUGUGAUGAGGAUUUGUUGUCGUUGAUGUUGUGUA